UAGAGUUUGAUCAUGGCUCAGAUUGAACGCUGGCGGCAUGGCUAAAACAUGCAAGUCGAACGAUUAAAGCUUCUUCGGAAGUGCAUAAAGUGGCGUAAGGGCGAGGAAUAUAUUUCUAUGUACCCCUAAGUCAAGGAUAGCCCAGGGAAACUUGGUGUAAUACCUGAUGUGGUCUCCGGAUCAAAGAUUUAUCGCUUAGGGAGCAGGGAAUAUCCUAUCAGGUUGUUGGUGAGGUAACGGCUCACCAAGCCAAAGACGGGUAGCGGGUGUGAGAGCAUGACCCGCCGCAUCGGAACUGAGACACUGUCCGGACUCCUACGGGAGGCUGCAGUAACGAAUAUUCCGCAAUGAGCGAAAGCUUGACGGAGCAAUGCCGCGUGCAGGAUGAAUCUCUUCGGAGUGUAAACUGCUGUCAGAGACUAGGAACUCAAUGACCAAUCUCAAAGGAAGGGCCGGCUAACUUCGUGCCAGCAGCCGCGGUAAUACGAAGGGCCCGAGCGUUAUUCGGAAUCACUGGGCUUAAAGCGUACGUAGGCUGGUAUAUAGGCAUUUUGUGAAAUCCCUCGGCUCAACCGAGGAACUGCAGAGUGAACCAUAUACCUUGAGACAGACAGAGGUCGUCGGAACGAUUGGUGGAGUGGUGAAAUGCGUUGAUAUCAAUCGGAACGCCGAAGGAGAAGUCAGGCGACUGGGUCUGUUCUGACGCUGAGGUACGAAAGCGUGGGUAGCGAACGGGAUUAGAUACCCCGGUAGUCCACGCCGUAAACGAUGUGCACUAGGUCGAGGGCGUUCUGACGCGACUCUCG
rnacentral:rRNA from 1 species